rnacentral:rRNA from 1 species
ACGAACGCUGGCGGCGUGCUUAACACAUGCAAGUCGAACGGAAAGGCCCUGCUUUUGUGGGGUGCUCGAGUGGCGAACGGGUGAGUAACACGUGAGUAACCUGCCCUUGACUUUGGGAUAACUUCAGGAAACUGGGGCUAAUACCGGAUAGGAGCUCCUGCUGCAUGGUGGGGGUUGGAAAGUUUCGGCGGUUGGGGAUGGACUCGCGGCUUAUCAGCUUGUUGGUGGGGUAGUGGCUUACCAAGGCUUUGACGGGUAGCCGGCCUGAGAGGGUGACCGGCCACAUUGGGACUGAGAGCCGGCCCAGACGCCUACGGGAGGAAGCGGUGGGGAAUAUUGCACAAUGGGCGGAAGCCGGAUGCAGCAACGCCGGGUGCGGGAUGACGGCCUUCGGGUUGAAAACCGCUUUCGCCUGUGACGAAGCGUGAGUGACGGUAAUGGGUAAAGAAGCACCGGCUAACUACG